AUCGAGUUUUGAACGGGUUGUCUGCUGGCUCGCGAGAGCAUGUGCACGCCUGUCUCAUCCACUCUCAACUUCUGUGCACUUUUCAUAGGCCGGCUUGUGGGUGCGUUCGCGCACUUGUAGGUGUCGGGCUUAUGCUUUAUUACAAACGAUUCAGUUUUAGAAUGUCAUACUUUGCUAUAACGCAAUUUAUAUACAACUUUCAGCAACGGAUCUCUUGGCUCUCGCAUCGAUGAAGAACGCAGCGAAAUGCGAUAAGUAAUGUGAAUUGCAGAAUUCAGUGAAUCAUCGAAUCUUUGAACGCACCUUGCGCUCCUUGGUAUUCCGAGGAGCAUGCCUGUUUGAGUCUCAUGGAAUUCUCAACCUUCAGCUUUAUUGUUGAAGGCUUGGACUUGGAGGUCGUGCCGGCUCUCGUAGUCGGCUCCUCUGAAAUGCAUUAGUGCGAACGUUACCAGCCGCUUCAGCGUGAUAAUUAUCUGCGUUGCUGUGGAGGGGGUAUCUUAGUGUUCACGCUUCUAACCGUCUUCGGACAAAUUUCUGAACUCUGAGCUCAAAUCAGGUAGGACUACCCGCUGA
rnacentral:rRNA from 1 species